CCUACGGGAGGCAGCAGUGAGGAAUAUUGGUCAAUGGGCGCGAGCCUGAACCAGCCAAGUCGCGUGAAGGAUGACGGCCCUAUGGGUUGUAAACUUCUUUUGUCGGGGAGUAAAAGGCGCCACGCGUGCCUUUCUGAGUGUACUCUAUGAAAAAGGAUCGGCUAACUCCGUGCCAGCAGCCGCGGUAAUACGGAGGAUGCGAGCGGUAUCCGGAUUUAUUGGGUUUAAAGGGUGAGCAGGCGGGAGAUAAAGUCAGUGGUAAAAUUUUGAGGCUCAACCUAAUCGUGCAGUUGAAACUGGUAGUCUUGAGUGAGCGAGAAGUAUGCGGAAUGCGUGGUGUAGCGGUGAAAUGCAUAGAUAUCACGCAGAACUCCGAUUGCGAAGGCAGCAUACCGGCGCUCAACUGACGCUGAUGCACGAAAGUGUGGGUAUCGAACAGGAUUAGAUACCCGAGUAGUC
rnacentral:rRNA from 1 species